UGCAAGUCGAACGCUUCUUUCCUCCCGAGUGCUUGCACUCAAUUGGAAAGAGGAGUGGCGGACGGGUGAGUAACACGUGGGUAACCUACCCAUCAGAGGGGGAUAACACUUGGAAACAGGUGCUAAUACCGCAUAACAGUUUAUGCCGCAUGGCAUAAGAGUGAAAGGCGCUUUCGGGUGUCGCUGAUGGAUGGACCCGCGGUGCAUUAGCUAGUUGGUGAGGUAACGGCUCACCAAGGCCACGAUGCAUAGCCGACCUGAGAGGGUGAUCGGCCACACU
rnacentral:rRNA from 1 species